GCACCCGUAGCUCAGUUGGAUAGAGCGCUGGCCUCCGAAGCCAGAGGUCACAGGUUCGAAUCCUGUCGGGUGCGCCA
rnacentral:tRNA from 3 species